rnacentral:rRNA from 1 species
UACGAAGGGGACUAGCGUUGUUCGGAAUUACUGGGCGUAAAGCGCACGUAGGCGGAUAUUUAAGUCAGGGGUGAAAUCCCAGAGCUCAACUCUGGAACUGCCUUUGAUACUGGGUAUCUCGAGUAUGGAAGAGGUGAGUGGAAUUCCGAGUGUAGAGGUGAAAUUCGUAGAUAUUCGGAGGAACACCAGUGGCGAAGGCGGCUCACUGGUCCAUUACUGACGCUGAGGUGCGAAAGCGUGGGGAGCAAACAGG